UUCCGGUUGAUCCUGCCGGAAGUCACUGCUAUUGGGAUUCGACUAAGCCAUGCGAGUCGAGAGGGUUCGGCCCUCGGCUGACGGCUCAGUAACACGUGGAUAAUCUGCCCUUAGGUGGAGGAUACCCUCGGGAAACUGAGAAUAAUACUCCAUAGGUCUAGGAUGCUGGAAUGCAUCUAGACUCAAAGCUCCGGCGCCUAAGGAUGAGUCUGCGGACUAUCAGGUUGUAGUCAGGGUAAAGACCUGACUAGCCUACGACGGAUACGGGUUGUGAGAGCAAUAACCCGGAGAUGAUAUCUGAGACACGAUAUCAGGCCCUACGGGGCGCAGCAGGCGCGAAAACUUCACACUGUGCGAAAGCACGAUGAGGGAAUCCCAAGUGCUUGCACGUAAGUGUAAGCUGUUUCUUUGUUUAAAACGCAUUGAGAGUAAGAGCUGGGCAAGACGGGUGCCAGCCGCCGCGGUAAUACCUGCAGCUCGAGUGGUGGCCGCUAUUAUUGGGCCUAAAACGACCGUAGCCGGUUUAGUAAAUGCCUGGGUAAAUCGUGUAGCUUAACUAUACGAAUUCCGGGUAGACUGCUAAACUUGAGACCGGGAGAAGUUAGAGGUACUCCUGGGGUAGAGGUGAAAUUCUGUAAUCCUAGGGGGACCACCAGUGGCGAAGGCGUCUGACUAGAACGGGUCUGACGGUGAGGGACGAAGCCCUGGGGCGCAAACCGGAUUAGAUACCCGGGUAGUCCAGGGUGUAAACGCUGCUUGCUUGAUGUUGGUUGGGCUCCGAGCCCAAUCAGUGUCGGAGAGAAGUUGUUAAGCAAGCUGCCUGGGAAGUACGGCCGCAAGACUGAAACUUAAAGGAAUUGGCGGGGGAGCACAGCACGGGGUGAGCGUGCGUUUAAUGGAAUCACGC
rnacentral:rRNA from 1 species